CGACCGCGAGCGCCCGGCGACCUGCGCGGGGGGACGGGGCGGGGCGGCGGCGGCCGGGCGCCGUGACGUCAGCUCUUUCGUCAUCUCCGUCAUUCUGCUCCUGAAAACAGAUUUGCCAUGAGAGAUGGUAGCAUCAAGCCAUCCAGCCAAGUGCCAGAAGCCAGAUUAAAUUAUCUGUGAAGUUGGCCAACUAAGAGCAGAGAGAACUCCCGCCUCCCUCAACCCGCAGGAAAACCUUGGGAGCCAAGCAGGCCUGCUGGAGCCAAGGCUAGUUCUGACACCUCACCCCCGGAGCUGGGCAUCCACUUUCCAUUCUUCGCAAAAAUUCAUGUGUCAAAAUUAGCAGGUGAAUUGUUCACAUCACUGACACCUGGAGUCUGAACACAGAAGAAGAUAAGACACCUGUAAGGAUCUUUGAAAGGUUAUCUGUGAAGACAAUGAUCUGUUUAGGCCAUGCCAUGAUUCUGAGUAAAGAUGGAAAUUGCUGGAAGGACUUCUAAGGAAUAUUUUGCUAACACCGCUUUUCCCUAGUCUUAUUUUUCCUGUUUCACAGUGAUAUGAUGAUAAGAACUUUAGUAGCCAUUUUCUCAGUAUGAGGAAAAUAACCAGAGAUAUUGGCCCUGACAUCCAUAACCUGCUGAGCCAAUGCCAAUAGCAGCCUGCCUCCUUGCAGACUUCUUACGAUAUGGGAAAAAUAACCCCCUAUUUGCUUAAAGUCAUGUAUUAGGGUGUUUCAUUACAUGCAGCUAAAUGAUGGUACAGAUAGGUAAUUGGGGUUAUUUCUUGGCAUGCUUUAAAAAGUGCUGAAUCAGAGGAUAGUAGGAUAGUACUAAGACCAGAAUUUAAAUUUAUGUAUUUUAUUAAUUUAAUAAACACUCAGGUAAUACUUACUGUAGGUCAGGCUUUAAUAUAAACACUUUACAAAUAUUAACUCAUUGUCUCCUCACUAAGGAUGGUUACUAUUAUUAUCCCCAUUUUAAUUAAGAGCAAAUGGAGGCAUAGAGAAAAUUAAGUAAACUGCCCAAGAUCAUACAGCCAGUAAAUGUCAAAGCCAGGAUAGAAAACCAAGUUUUGAGGUUCUUAAUCACUAUAUCAUGCCACCUGAUGAUGCCAGUCAGUGCAUAUCCCAUCCCAGGUUCUAAUUCCCCUUCUGCUACUGAUAAGCCAUGUAAUUAGGGUUGUGUUUCCUCAGAGUCUACAGUUUUGACACCCCACCUUCCCCCAACUGCCUGUUGCCCCCACACUGAUAUCGGACAGAAACAUAUUGGGCAGAAACAACAUCUGUAUUUCAGCAUCUUUUUCGAUGCCAUUAUCUGAUUCAUAAGGAUGGGAAAAUUUGAGAUAAGACUCCCACAGGCCCACAAACCACUUUUAAUAACCUUCACGAAACUUCCAUUACUGACAAUCUUUGUUAUCAUUUGACCAUAUCGUUUAAUUUCAUAGCACCAAAGUCAUCUGAAGUUAUCUUUGACACACUUGAGCUCUAUCUUCUUUAAAUGAACGCUUCAUCAAUACCUAUUUAUGCCUCAUUUCUCCAUUAUUCCUUUCACAAAAACUACAUCUGAUUCCGGAUUUAUCCAAUAACUAUAUUCAGUGUAAUUUAUUUUCAAGAAUUGUGUAGUGAUGUUCCUUUAAGUUUUACCUAAAUUGAUGGAUUAUUUUCUUUCAAAAUAGCCUGUUCUUCCACCUUAAUAUUUAUUGGAGGCCUGACAUCUUUAUAUUGACAGUGGCGGAAUGACUCUUCUAUUUGGAGGAAACCUUAAAGAUCAACUGUUCUAGGUCCUUUGUUUUAUAGAUGAUGAAACAGGCUCUGAAAUUUAAAUGAUUUGCCUAAAGUUACUGGCAGAGCCAGAUCUAAAACUUUCCUUAGGGCAACUUUUUCUUUCCUUUUUAUUUUAUUUACAUUAAUAGAUUUAAUUUUUAAAAAAAGUUUUAGGUAUACAGAAAAUUUGAGCAGAAAGUCUCCAUAUACUCCCUCUCUCUCUGCCACACACAGGUUCCCCUACCAUUAAUAUCUUGCAUUAGUGCGGUACAUUCAUUAAAAUUGAUGAUUAUUACUGAUUAAAGUGUGUAUUUACAUCAGGGAAAACUAGAGGUGAGUAUCUCUCAUGAAUACAGAUGUAAAAAUCUUCAACAAAUUAUUAACAAAUCAAAUUUAAUAAUGUAUAAAAAAUUAUACAGCAUGACCAUGUGGGAUUUGUGCUAGGCAUGCAAGUUUUGUUCAACAUUCAAAAAUCAAUUAAUGUAAUCCAUCACAUCAACAGGCUAAAGAUAUAAAUCAUAUAAUCAAAUCAAUAGACUCAAGGAAAAAAAGCAUAUGACAAAAUCCAAUGCUCAUUCAUGCUAAAGAAUCUUUGCAAACUAUAAACAUAGGGAAACUUCCUGAACUUAUUAAAGAACAUUUUUUAAGACCCUUCAGUUAGCAUUAACACAAAUGGUAAGAAAUCCAUUCUCCUUCAGAUCAAGAGCAAGACAAGGAUGUUCUCUCUUAUCAUCCCUACUCAACAUUGAACUGAAAGUCCUUAUUAAUCAGUCCUUAUAUAAUACAUAUAAAUGGGAAAAUGAAAUAAAAGUAUAUAGAUCAGGAAGGAAGAAAUAAAGCUUUCUUUGUUCAGAUGAUAUGAUCAGGAAGGAAGAAAUAAAGCUUUCUUUGUUCAGAUGAUAUGAAUUGCUUAUCUAGAAAAUCUCACAGUAUAAAUCAAAAAACUCUUGGAACUAAUAAAUGAUUAUAACAAGUUUUUCAAAAUGCAAGGUUAAUAUGCAAAAGCUUAUUCUUUUUCUAUAUAACAGCAACAAAGGUUGGAAUUUGAAAGUAAAAAAUAAGACACUAUUUACAUUAGUACCAAAAAUGAAAUACUUAGGUGUGGAUCUAACAAAAUACAUACAAGAUUGAUAUGAGGAAAUUUGCAAAAUUCUGAUGAAAGAAAUAAAAGAAUAUCUAAAUAAAUGGAUAUUCCAUGCUUACAUAUAGGAAGACUCAAUACUGUUAAGAUGUCAAUUCUUUCCAACAUCAUAUGUCUAUUCAAUGCAAUUCCAAUCAAAUAUCAGCAAGGUAUUUUGUAAAGCUAUUUCAAAAGUUUAUGGACCUAGAAUAGCCAACAUAAACAAAGUUGGAGGACUGAUACUACCUGACUUCAAGACUUAUUAUAAAGCUACAGUCAUCAAGACAGUAUGGUGUUAGAGAAAGAAUAGACAGAUCAAUGGAGCAGAAUAAACCUACACAAAUACAGUCAACUGGUCUUUGAUAAAGGAGCAAAGGCAAUUCAGUGGAGAAAGGAGUCUUUUCUAGUUUUGCUGGAAAAACUUGAUGUCCCCAUAGAAAAAGAAAUGAACCUAGACACAGACCUUACACCUUCCACAAAAAAUUAACUCAAAAUGGAACAUAUUCCUAAGUGUAAAAUGCAAGACUAUAAAACUUACCACUAAUCACAAAUAAAGUUUAUCACAAAAUAUAAAGCAUACUAAAUGCUAUAGCUUUCCCUUAUCAUCCCAAAUCCCUACAGUCCCCUAAAAAUACAAAAUUAAAGAAAAAAAUCUAGAACCUUCCUGGAAGAUUUUAAAAGGUGUCUCUCUGGAUCAGAAGCUAUAAUGAAUAAGUGAAAGAUGAAAAACAAAGUCAAGUGAAGAAGAGGAAUAUGGUCAAAAUGCAUAGGGAAAAGUUUUUUAAAAAGAGUUCUUCAUACCCUGUGUAGGUGCGGUAGUCAGAAAGGCAUCAACAGUAAUGGAUAGCCCCUAGCCCCACAGGGCAGGCAGUGACCUUCAGGAGGAAGCAGUGUCCAGGCUGUAUGGACCAGUGUGCUCUAGAUAUGGAACUGCCAUUCCAGGUGCUACUAGUACUCAGAAGAGGAUGUUAACCCUUAAAUGCAUUUAUUAAGAAAGCAAGAUUUAAGAUAAACUUUCAACCUAGUAGCAAAGAAAAAAAAAGAAAGAGAAAAACCAAAUAGAAUAGUUUGAAAAGUUUAAAAAGACCAAUGAAAUGACGUAAACUCUGGCAAAAUUUGCUAAUAUUUAGUUUGAAUUUCUGUUUCCAAGUACAUAAAUGAGCUUGGCCUCACUUUGCAUUUUCAGUCCUGUGAUUGCAUUUAGUGCUAAGAUUAUAGGAUGAACUGGGUAGUUUUCCCUCUUUUCUAAUUUUGUUUUUAUAUAUUUGGUAAAAUACAAAGAUUAUCUAUUUCUUGAUGGCUUGCUAAAAACUUGCAAAACUACGUAUGUAUAGAGCCUCUUGUGCCAUGCGUGGUCAAAGACUAUUCUGAAUAGAAGUUUAAUUUUCUUAAUUGUUAAAUUUUGUAUUUCUAUUUGGGUCAAUUUCAUGAAGUGCAUUUUAAGUAAACUUGUCCAUUUCACCUAAUUUCUCAAAAUCAUUAGUAUAAAGUUAUUGAUAUAUUAGCUCAUGAUUUAUUAAUUCCCUAUCAAAUCUGUAUUAUGUAUCAUUUCUAAUAUCAUUGUGACUUCUUUUUCUUCUUGAUAAGUCCUACUGGAAAGUUUGUCUUGCUUAUUAGUAUUUUCAAAAUCUAAUGUUUUUAUUUAUUUUUUUUCUUUACACUUAUUAUUUCCUAGUUUUACAAUCUUUAGGUGUAAUGUUUUCUUUUGUAACUGAGUUGAACACUUACCUAAUUUGUUUCCAAUAAUUUGUUUUUUAAAUAAAUUUCUCCUUACCUUAAGCUAUAUCAUUCAUGAUUUGGUAUGUAGAUUUCUAAUUUCAGUGCAUGGGGGGGGAUGCCAUGAUUUCUGUUAUGAUGAUUCUUAUAAUUUGAAGAUAUUUCCUUGGUGACAUCUGAAUAUUGGUAAAUGUUCAAUGUAUGAUUGGGAAGAAUUUAUACUUCUUGUCUCCCUUUCAUAGAUCAAAUAUGUUAUAUCUUUGAAUGAUUUAAAUAUAUUAAUAUUCAAGUCCUU